rnacentral:rRNA from 1 species
AACGGGGGGGGCAAGCGUUGUUCGGAAUUACUGGGCGUAAAGGGCUCGUAGGCGGCCAACUAAGUCAGACGUGAAAUCCCCAGGCUCAACCUGGGAACUGCGUCUGAUACUGGAUGGCUUGAAUCCGGGAGAGGGAUGCAGAAUUCCAGGUGUAGCGGUGAAAUGCGCAGAUAUCAGGAGGAACACCGGUGGCGAAGGCGGGUCUCUGGGCCGAUACUGACGCUGAGGAGCGAAAGCGUGGGGAGCGAACAGG